CCUACGGGGGGCAGCAGUGAGGAAUAUUGGUCAAUGGACGAGAGUCUGAACCAGCCAAGUAGCGUGAAGGAUGACUGCCCUAUGGGUUGUAAACUUCUUUUAUACGGGAAUAAAAUGUUUCACGUGUGGGAUUUUGUAUGUACCAUAUGAAUAAGGAUCGGCUAACUCCGUGCCAGCAGCCGCGGUAAUACGGAGGAUCCGAGCGUUAUCCGGAUUUAUUGGGUUUAAAGGGAGCGUAGGUGGAUUGUUAAGUCAGUUGUGAAAGUUUGCGGCUCAACCGUAAAAUUGCAGUUGAAACUGGCAGUCUUGAGUACAGUAGAGGUGGGCGGAAUUCGUGGUGUAGCGGUGAAAUGCUUAGAUAUCACGAAGAACUCCGAUUGCGAAGGCAGUUCACUGGACUGCAACUGACACUGAGGCUCGAAAGUGUGGGUAUCAAACAGGAUUAGAUACCCGAGUAGUC
rnacentral:rRNA from 1 species